AACGAACGCUGGCGGCGUGCCUAACACAUGCAAGUCGAACGGUAGCACAGAGAGCUUGCUCUCGGGUGACGAGUGGCGGACGGGUGAGUAAUGUCUGGGAAACUGCCCGAUGGAGGGGGAUAACUACUGGAAACGGUAGCUAAUACCGCAUAACGUCGCAAGACCAAAGUGGGGGACCUUCGGGCCUCACACCAUCGGAGGUGCCCAGAUGGGAUUAGCUAGUAGGUGGGAUAAUGGCUCACCUAGGCGACGAUCCCUAGCUGGUCUGAGAGGAUGACCAGCCACACUGGAACUGAGACACGGUCCAGACUCCUACGGGAGGCAGCAGUGGGGAAUAUUGCACAAUGGGCGCAAGCCUGAUGCAGCCAUGCCGCGUGUAUGAAGAAGGCCUUCGGGUUGUAAAGUACUUUCAGCGGGGAGGAAGGCGGUGAAGUUAAUAGCUUCACCGAUUGACGUUACCCGCAGAAGAAGCACCGGCUAACUUCGUGCCAGCAGCCGCCGUAA
rnacentral:rRNA from 1 species